AGUGAACGCUGGCGGCGUGCCUAACACAUGCAAGUCGAACGAUGAUAGGAAGCUUGCUUCCUUGAUUAGUGGCGCACGGGUGAGUAUACCAUAGAUAAUGUACCUCUUAGUUCGGGAUAGCCACUGGAAACGGUGAUUAAUACCGGAUACUCCUUCUUGUCCUAAGGCGAGUCGGGAAAGUUUUUUCGCUAAGAGAUCAGUCUAUGUCCUAUCAGCUAGUUGGUGAGGUAAUGGCUCACCAAGGCUAUGACGGGUAUCUGGUUUGAGAGGAUGAUCAGACACACUGGAACUGAGACACGGUCCAGACUCCUACGGGAGCAGCAGUGAGGAAUAUUGCACAAUGGAGGAAACUCUGAUGCAGCAACGCCGCGUGGAGGAUGACGCAUUUCGGUGUGUAAACUCCUUUUAUAUGGGGAAGAUAAUCGACGGUACCAUAUGAAUAAGCACCGGCUAACUCCGUGCCAGCAGCCG
rnacentral:rRNA from 1 species